CUGGCGGCGUGCCUAAUACAUGCAAGUCGAACGAACUCUGGUAUUGAUUGGUGCUUGCAUCAUGAUUUACAUUUGAGUGAGUGGCGAACUGGUGAGUAACACGUGGGAAACCUGCCCAGAAGCGGGGGAUAACACCUGGAAACAGAUGCUAAUACCGCAUAACAACUUGGACCGCAUGGUCCGAGUUUGAAAGAUGGCUUCGGCUAUCACUUUUGGAUGGUCCCGCGGCGUAUUAGCUAGAUGGUGGGGUAACGGCUCACCAUGGCAAUGAUACGUAGCCGACCUGAGAGGGUAAUCGGCCACAUUGGGACUGAGACACGGCCCAAACUCCUACGGGAGGCAGCAGUAGGGAAUCUUCCACAAUGGACGAAAGUCUGAUGGAGCAACGCCGCGUGAGUGAAGAAGGGUUUCGGCUCGUAAAACUCUGUUGUUAAAGAAGAACAUAUCUGAGAGUAACUGUUCAGGUAUUGACGGUAUUUAACCAGAAAGCCACGGCUAACUACGUGCCAGCAGCCGCGGUAAUACGUAGGUGGCAAGCGUUGUCCGGAUUUAUUGGGCGUAAAGCGAGCGCAGGCGGUUUUUUAAGUCUGAUGUGAAAGCCUUCGGCUCAACCGAAGAAGUGCAUCGGAAACUGGGAAACUUGAGUGCAGAAGAGGACAGUGGAACUCCAUGUGUAGCGGUGAAAUGCGUAGAUAUAUGGAAGAACACCAGUGGCGAAGGCGGCUGUCUGGUCUGUAACUGACGCUGAGGCUCGAAAGUAUGGGUAGCAAACAGGAUUAGAUACCCUGGUAGUCCAUACCGUAAACGAUGAAUGCUAAGUGUUGGAGGGUUUCCGCCCUUCAGUGCUGCAGCUAACGCAUUAAGCAUUCCGCCUGGGGAGUACGGCCGCAAGGCUGAAACUCAAAGGAAUUGACGGGGGCCCGCACAAGCGGUGGAGCAUGUGGUUUAAUUCGAAGCUACGCGAAGAACCUUACCAGGUCUUGACAUACUAUGCAAAUCUAAGAGAUUAGACGUUCCCUUCGGGGACAUGGAUACAGGUGGUGCAUGGUUGUCGUCAGCUCGUGUCGUGAGAUGUUGGGUUAAGUCCCGCAACGAGCGCAACCCUUAUUAUCAGUUGCCAGCAUUAAGUUGGGCACUCUGGUGAGACUGCCGGUGACAAACCGGAGGAAGGUGGGGAUGACGUCAAAUCAUCAUGCCCCUUAUGACCUGGGCUACACACGUGCUACAAUGGAUGGUACAACGAGUUGCGAACUCGCGAGAGUAAGCUAAUCUCUUAAAGCCAUUCUCAGUUCGGAUUGUAGGCUGCAACUCGCCUACAUGAAGUCGGAAUCGCUAGUAAUCGCGGAUCAGCAUGCCGCGGUGAAUACGUUCCCGGGCCUUGUACACACCGCCCGUCACACCAUGAGAGUUUGUAACACCCAAAGUCGGUGGGGUAACCUUUUAGGAACCAGCCGCCUAAGGUGGGACAGAUGAUUAG
rnacentral:rRNA from 2 species